rnacentral:rRNA from 1 species
CCUACGGGAGGCAGCAGUGAGGAAUAUUGGUCAAUGGACGCAAGUCUGAACCAGCCAAGCCGCGUGCAGGAAGACGGCUCUAUGGGUUGUAAACUGCUUUUGUAAGAGGGUAAACGGAGAUACGCGUACCUGUCUGAAAGUAUCGUACGAAUAAGGAUCGGCUAACUCCGUGCCAGCAGCCGCGGUAAUACGGAGGAUUCGAGCGUUAUCCGGAUUUAUUGGGUUUAAAGGGAGCGUAGGCGGUCGGAUAAGUUAGUGGUGAAAGCCCGCGGCUCAACCUCGGAAUUGCCUCUGAUACUGUCCGGCUAGAGCGUAGUUGCGGUAGGCGGAAUUUAUGGUGUAGCGGUG